GGGGUGAACAGACGGUGGGGGGCAGGUCGGUCGCUCCUCCCGCGUCUCCAGCGGUUUGGGGCAGCCCGCGCCUCAGAGGAACCGCUCGUGUGAACAGCCGGUGAAGGCUUGCCGCGUCGCUAACACCCUGCGGGCUGUCUUCACGAGCCUCUACUCCCCCAUUUGUAGGCCCCCAGGACAGCUGCCGUGAGGAUGCCCAGGAGCACGCCCAGCACGUUCAGCACCGCCGAGGCCCAGAGCAGCCGAUAGAGGUGAAGCACGUCCUGACAGCCGCGCACGCCCACGAACUCAUAGUAGUCAUAUUUCUCAGAGCACUCCCAGCUCUGACCUAAGAAGAGCAUAGGAAACCACCCACGACCGCACCUUCCGGACGAAGCCCAGGGGACGGAGCUGAGCAGCCACGUGGGUCUACCUUCCCUCAGGAGACGGCUGAGGAUGGAUGGAGGUCAGACGACAGGGCUGUGCAGGGCCGGGGGCUGGGGGACCAGUGUCCCACCGCUCUGCAGGCGCCCUGAGCCCUAGCCAGACGCCCGCUGACUCUGCCCUGACCCUCCCUCCCUUGGGGGUGUCAUCCCUACACGGCCCUGUUCUAGCAGCUCCAGCUCAGCGUCCCCCCGGUCCCGGGCACUGGUGGCACCGUGUGACAGAUGGCAGCAUCCUGCCGACGAUGAGGUUCCCGUCCUGCUGGAUCGGCGCCCUUCCUCACGCCGAUAACCACGUGGCAACACCCUUUCUGACUUCACAGCCUUCCUGGAAGGGAAGGACGGGUCGCCCUGUCCUGGGCCGAGUCCAGCCCCACGGGAGCGCCGGCCACCUGGUCUGGGACGUCUUGCCACUGCUUCUGCUCCAGUCUUGUGGCCACUGUACCGCAUGCCAAGGGCGGGGCGGCCUGAACCACGGACACCUGUUCCCGCAACCCUAGCAGCGGCCCGAGACCAGGGCGCCGGCCUCUUCCUGCCUUUUCCUCCCAUGGUGGACGGUGGGCUCUGGUCUCCGUCCAGACACUAAUCCCACCCCAUCUGACCCUGAUCACAUCCCAGUGGCUGGCCCUCCUCCCGUUGCCACCACACGGCGGUCUGGCCGCCACACACGUGUUCUGGGGACACAGACAUUCAGCCGGCUGGGUGCCACCUUCAACCGGAGACAAAGAAUUGGUGUAAGACUUGGACUUUUCAGUAAGUCCUCUUCCUAACACAGAAGCACUGGUGACUUGGUUUCAUUUUCUGUCUGAUCUUCAGUGUCCCAUCAGGAUGAAAUAAUUCUUACUAGUUUGAGUUAGAUAAAACUGUGACCUAUGUUAGUCCCACCUAUCACACAAACUUGGUUUUUGAAUGUAUGAUGUCCUUAGAGAUUGUGUUUCUUGGGGGAUAACCCUCAUCUCUGCAGGGGCUGGAGAGAGCCCAGGGUCCCACUCAUUCUGGUCUAAGAAUAUGGGCAGUGGUGUGCAGAAAGACCAUUGACAUGGUUUUUAUUUCUUAACCGUUCCACCUAGAUUAACAUUAAGACACCACACUUAUUAAUAUCAGACUCUAAGUCACUAAAGCUCAGUUGAAACCCUGUGUGUCUCCUGCAGGGGUCGGCCCCCUAUAGCCCUUGGGCCGCGUCCGGCCCACAGCUUGAUUUUGUAAAUAAAG